rnacentral:rRNA from 1 species
UACGAAGGGGGCUAGCGUUGCUCGGAAUCACUGGGCGUAAAGCGCACGUAGGCGGAUUGUUAAGUCAGGGGUGAAAUCCUGGAGCUCAACUCCAGAACUGCCUUUGAUACUGGCGAUCUUGAGUCCGGGAGAGGUGAGUGGAACUGCGAGUGUAGAGGUGAAAUUCGUAGAUAUUCGCAAGAACACCAGUGGCGAAGGCGGCUCACUGGCUCGGUACUGACGCUGAGGUGCGAAAGCGUGGGGAGCAAACAGG